UUCGAGUUCGGGAUAGCCCUGGGAAACCAGGAUUAAUACCGGAUGUGGUCACAACGGGACAUCCCGAUGUGAAAAAAGGCGCAAGCCGCUCGAUGACGGGCUCGCGGCCUAUUAGCUUGUUGGUGGGGUAACGGCCUACCAAGGCGAUGAUGGGUAGCUGGUCUGAGAGGACGAUCAGCCACACUGGGACUGAGACACGGCCCAGACUCCUACGGGAGGCAGCAGUUAGGAAUUUUCCGCAAUGGGCGCAAGCCUGACGGAGCAACGCCGCGUGUGUGAUGAAGGCCUUCGGGUUGUAAAGCACUGUCGGAGGGGAAGAACAAAUGACGGUACCCUCCAAGAAAGCCCCGGCUAACUACGUGCCAGCAGCCGCGGUAAUACGUAGGGGGCGAGCGUUAUCCGGAUUUACUGGGCGUAAAGCGCGUUAAGGCGGUUGGCAAAGUUGGGGGUGAAAUUUCAGGGCUCAACCCUGAAACUGCCUCCAAUACUGGUCGACUUGAGUGUGAGAGAGGAAGGUGGAAUUCCCGGUGUAGUAGUGAAAUGCGUAGAUAUCGGGAGGAACACCAGUGGCGAAGGCGGCCUUCUGGCUCACAACUGACGCUGUAGCGCGAAAGCGUGGGGAGCGAACGGGAUUAGAUACCCCGGUAGUCCACGCUGUAAACGAUGUGCACUAGGUGUUGGGCGUAUUGACGCGCUCAGUGCCGCAGCUAACGCAUUAAGUGCACCGCCUGGGGAGUACGGCCGCAAGGUUAAAACUCAAAGGAAUUGACGGAAUCGAAUU
rnacentral:rRNA from 1 species